UGGGGAAUUUUGCACAAUGGGGGAAACCCUGAUGCAGCGACGCCGCGUGAUUUAGAAGGCCUUCGGGUUGUAAAAAUCUUUUUUACGGGAUGAAAUUGACAGUACCGUAAGAAUAUGGUCCGGCUAAAUACGUGCCAGCAGCCGCGGUAAUACGUAUGGACCGAGCGUUGUCCGGAAUCAUUGGGCGUAAAGGGUACGUAGGCGGCCUAGUAAGUUAGAAGUUAAAGAAUAUAGCUCAACUAUAUAAAGCUUUUAAAACUGCUAGGCUUGAGAGAUGGAAGGGAAAGUGGAAUUCCUAGUGUAGCGGUGAAAUGCGCAGAUAUUAGGAAGAAUACCGGUGGCGAAGGCGACUUUCUGGUCAUCAUCUGACGCUGAGGUACGAAAGCGUGGGUAGCAAACAGG
rnacentral:rRNA from 1 species